CCUACCAUGCAGUCGAGCGGCAGCGAAGGUACCUUGCUACUUUGCCGGCGAGCGGCGGACGGGUGAAUAGUGUCUGGGAAACUGCCUGAUGGAGGGGGAUAACUACUGGAAACGGUAUCUAAUACCGCAUAACGUCACAAGACCAAAGAGGGGGACCUUCGGCCCUCUUGCCCUCAUAUGUGCCCAGAUGGGAUUAGCUAAUAGGGGGGGUAACGGCUCACCUAGGCGACUAUCCCUAUGUGGUCUGAGAGGAUGACCACCCACUCUGGAACUGACACACGGUCCACACUCCUACGGGAGGCAGCUGUGGGGAAUAUUGCACAGUGGGCGCACGCCUGAUGCACCCGUGCCGCGUGUAUGAAAAAGGUCUUCGGUUUGAAAAGUAUUUUCCGCGGGGAAGAAGGUGUUGAGGUUAAUAACCUCCACUUUUGACUUUACCCGCAAAAAAAACCCCGGCUAACUCCGUGCCCACACCCGCGAUAAUACAGAGGGUGCACGCGUUACUCAAAAUUACUGGGCAUAAAGCGCACGCAGGCGCUCUGUCAAGUCAGAUGUGAUCUCCCCGGUCUCAACCUGAGAACUGCAUUCAAAAGUGGCGCGCUAGACUCGUGUAGAGGGGGAUAGAAUUCCGUGUGUAGCUGUGAAAUGCAUAGAUAUCUGGAAGAAUACCGGUGGCGAAGGCGGCCCCGUGGACAAAGAGUGACUCUCGUGUGCAAAAGCGUGGGAGAGAAACGAGUAUAUAUACCGUGAUAGUCCGCCCCAUAAACUAUGUCUACUUGGAGGGUGUGCUCGUGACGCGUGUCCUCCGAGAUCAAACGCCU
rnacentral:rRNA from 1 species